rnacentral:misc_RNA from 1 species
UAACUGAUACAACUAAGCAGAUAUGAAUCUUGCUAAACCAUUCCGUUGACCGAGCAUUAAAGCAUGAUUUUCAGGUCUAAAUCUAGCAAAAUUGAGCUAGAUCACAUUUAGAAUAUAAAUGAACGAGCAUAAUCUAAUUUCAUCAACAGAAAAAUACAAUACCCAAUCUAG